AGCAGCCGCGGUAAUUCCAGCUCCAAUAGCGUAUAUUAAAGUUGCUGCAGUUAAAAAGCUCGUAGUUGAAUUUCGGGGUCAAUAUGUUGGUCGUGCCUUGGUACGUACUAGCUUAUUGAUUUCUCCUUUCUGACGAACCAUGAUGUCAUUAAUUUGGUGUCAUGGGGAAUCAGGACUGUUACUUUGAAAAAAUUAGAGUGUUUAAAGCAGGCUCGCGCUUGAAUACAUUAGCAUGGAAUAAUGAAAUAGGACAUUUGAUUCUAUUUUGUUGGUUUCUAGGAUCGAUGUAAUGAUUAAUAGGGAUAGUUGGGGGCAUUAGUAUUCAAUUGUCAGAGGUGAAAUUCUUGGAUUUAUUGAAGACUAACUACUGCGAAAGCAUUUGCCAAGGAUGUUUUCAUUAAUCAAAAACGAAAGUUAGGGGAUCGAAGACGAUCAGAUACCGUCGUAGUCUUAACCAUAAACUAUGCCGACUAGGGAUCGGAUGAUGUUAAUUUUUUAAUGACUCAUUCGGCGCCUUACG
rnacentral:rRNA from 1 species